AGAACAAAAGAUCGUGAAGAAGGUUUUGAAGAUCCAGAAAGCCAAGGAAAAGCUAGCAUCCAAGAGCUAAGCCUUGAAUCCUCGAUGAUGUCGUGAGAGGAGUUUCUGAUACUGCAGGUUUCUAGGAAAUCAUGACUGUAUUUUGAUUUUUGGUCUUGAGAUUUGUAUGUUGCUGGUUUUUCGUUAAAAUACGAUAUUGGAGGUCUUUCUUCAGUUUGUCGAAAUAUCCGUUCUCCUAGGUAUCUCUAUUUUCUUGUUCUGAAUAUUUAAACUUGUUAUGGAUAUUUGCAACUUCUAUUCAAUUAGGCUAUUCGUUCCAAA
rnacentral:misc_RNA from 1 species